AUGGAGUUUGGGCUGAGCUGGGUUGUCCUUGUUGCUAUUUUACAAGGUGUCCAGUGUGGGGUGCAGCUGGUGGAGUCUGUGGGAGGCCUGAUGCAGCCAGGGAGGUCUCUGAGACUCUCUUGUGCAGCGUCUGGGUUCACCUUCAUUAACUAUCCCAUGAGCUGGCUCCUCCAGGCUCCAGGGAAGGGGCUGGACAGGGUCUCAGUUAUUAGUAGUAGUGGUGGUAGCACAUACUAUGCAGACUCUGUGAAGGGUCGAUUCACCAUCUCCAGAGACAACUCCAAGAACACACUUUAUCUGCAAAUGAACAGCCUGAGGUCUGAGGACACGGCCGUGUAUUACUGUGCAAAAGAUACACAGUGA